AACAAGGCGUACCUGCGGACCUGCGGAAGGAUCAUUACCAGAGAGCCUUUUGGCACUCCAACCCAUUGUGAACAUACCUAUCGUUCCCUCGGCGGGCUCAGCGCGCGGGGCCUCCGGGCUUCCGGGCGUCCGCCGGGGACAACCAAACCCUGAUUUACUACGUGUAUCUCUGAGGGGCGAAAGCCCGAAAACAAAAUAAAUCAAAACUUUUAACAACGGAUCUCAGAUCGGAAGAGCACA
rnacentral:misc_RNA from 1 species